rfam:Aneurinibacillus migulanus strain DSM 2895 super17, whole genome shotgun sequence.
UGAUGUCGAAAAGCGCCAGGACCAUUCCUAUCGGACGGUAAAGGAAUGGUUGACGAGGUGGAGGUUAAUCGAUUGAUUCGGCGGAUGCCUCCCGGCAGUAGACCGCUGCCGCAGGGCUGUUCAACAAAACGUCAAGGAAACUUGCCGGACAAAAGAACAGCACGGUCUCAU